AUUGAACGCUGGCGGCAGGCCUAACACAUGCAAGUCGAACGAGUGGCGGACGGGUGAGUAAUGUCUGGGAAACUGCCUGAUGGAGGGGGAUAACUACUGGAAACGGUAGCUAAUACCGCAUACCAUCGGAUGUGCCCAGAUGGGAUUAGCUAGUAGGUGGGGUAAAGGCUCACCUAGGCGACGAUCCCUAGCUGGUCUGAGAGGCUGACCAGCAACACUGUAACUGAGACACGGUCAAGACGCCUACGGGAGGCAUGAGUGGGGAAUAUUGCAAAAUGGGCGCAAGCCUGAUGAAGCAAUGCCGCGUGUAUGAAGAAGGCCUUCGGGUUGUAAAGUACUUUCAGCGGGGAGGCGUGACCCGCAGAAGAAGCACCGGCUAACUCCGUGCCAGCAGCCGCGGUAAUUC
rnacentral:rRNA from 1 species